rnacentral:antisense_RNA from 1 species
GGGCAAGUUAGUUGCUCCAAAAACAAGAUAAAGUGAUUGAGUUAUUUUCUCAAGCGGGAGUCGGAGUUUAUCUGCUCUGAGAAAUAUUGAUGAUAAAGAGGAAACUAACUUUCUGAACCAUUAAAUGUAAUAUCAUUUAUCUCACCAAAUCCCAAGAUAGAGCCCCAGCAGCUACUAUUAAUAAGUGUCUGGAAUAUGUUCCUGGCAUUUCACCUACCCUCUCUCCAAUCCUUCCAAGAAACUCACAAAGCAGGGCUUUUUCUUGAACUUCUCUUCCUCACAACAGUUAAAUCAUCCAUUUAAAGAUGUCAGACAACCUCCGUGUUCUAAGCCAGACCAUCAAUUUAACUUGUAAAACUACCAACUGUUGCUACACACAGGCAAAGGAAUUAAACUUGGUAGCUGAUCAUCUGAUUACAUCUAUCAGUCUACUGGAGGGCUUCAACGCAGAGUAGGUGGAAUUCAUGGUUCAAAUCAGAGUAUUCAUGGGAUCUGUUUGCACACCAAUACCUGAUCUCCUUGGCACAAAUACAGAGCUGAUUCUUAAAGCAUGUCCCCACAAUAAAGCUUUUCUUAAU